rnacentral:rRNA from 1 species
GUCUGCUUGGAGGUAUAAGAAGUCUAGCCUGCUCUCUGAUUAGUUUAAGGGCCGCGGUAACCUGACCGUGCAAAGGUAGCAUAAUAGUUAGUUUUUUAAUUGGAAUCUUGUAUGAAUGGUUGGACAAAAGAAAUACUGUCUCUAUAAUUUUUAUUGAAUUUAACUUUUAAGUGAAAAGGCUUAAAUUAUUUAAAAAGACGAUAAGACCCUAUAAAUCUUUAUAAAUAAAUCUUGUUUGAUCGAAUUAAAAGUAAAGGUUUAGUAAUUUUUUUUUAUUUUGUUGGGGAGACAAAUAUUAUAAUUUAUAGUAACUGUAAGUGUAAAAAACAAAUAUAGAUGUUUAAAUAAUUAAAUGAUCCUAUUUAAAGAUUAAAAGUUUAAGUUACUUUAGGGAUAACAGCGUUAUUUUUCUUGAGAGUUCAUAUCGAAAGAAGAGAUUGCGACCUCGAUGUUGAAUUAAAAUUUCUAAGUGAUUGCAGAAGUUACUUUAGAAGGUCUGUUCGACCUUUGAAUUUUU